UUCGUCUGCUCCCAUGGCCUCCGCAUUGCUCGCCGAGCAGGAAAUAUGUCCACUUGGGGCGAGCGAAGACGACGACGAUUUAGGGCAUCUACUGAUUGCGGAACAAGAUUUGUUUCGUGAGCAUCUGCCUCACUUGGGCACCACGACUUGCUUCUGUAAUUCUUCGACUAUGUUCUCUUAAUCUGAUGCCAGCAUACUUUUGCAGGAUCACUUUCGCCAGUGAAAUUAUGUGAUCAGGCUCCUCUGCAUAGUGCUGGCACAGUGGUAGCUUGUCAUCGUGUGUUAGGAUGAAGUGAUUAAACGAUUUCAAAACGAUCACCCGCACUACAAGCUUCACAGACCUCAAUUUCUCGAGACGAAAGGUCUGCUCAGCGCAACACAGCAGACGUGUAACAAAGGAGGAUGGUUUAACCAGCCCUCCAUUGUCCCUGAGCAUGAUGAGAACACUUGAUGUCUCGUCAUCUAGGAGUGUGUCCAAACAACCAUUACAGGUGAGUUUUGAGGAGACAAUUCUAACAACAUAUCCUCCAAUAUAGGCAACAAUGUCCUCGCUGAACCUGCUGAGUCUGGAUGAUUCCCCGUAGUCAUGGUCAGCACACUGUAGAAGGGCACAGAUGUUGUCCUCUGCAGGAACUUCUGCAGUGGGAGUCUCCUCACCUGCACUUUCCUCCCUUCGCGGCUUGCCCUGGUGACCGAGUGUCUCUAUGCCUUCCACUGUAGGCGCGACAUUCGCAGAGCUUGGGGCCUGAACUUCAGCGUGUAUGAGAAGCUUCCUGUAGGCAUGACGGAAUUGGGAAGCUGAUGGGUUGUUAUUCCAUCCUCCUCUUUGCCUGAUGCAGCUGAAGAACAGUUCCAAGUGGUCCUGGCUGAGGCGACCUCUACAUGUUACCUGCAUGCGCCCGCCUGGAACAGCGCUUCUGCCAGCUGUGCAACACUUUUUAGCGUAAAGGCCACGCUGAUGACUGACAUGCGUCUCCCAUGCUAAGCAGCUAGCUCCCCGGAUGGAAGUCGCAGUGUCAUCAUUCUUGACGACAAUCUUUAGUGGCCACAGUCAUGAAAAUGAAAGGCCUACUCAUCUACGUCGGCAAUGAACGAAGCGGUUGCGUCACUUCCUUCAAAUUCGGUCAAUCCCAGGAGCCGUGCGUGGGUCAGGGCUUUGCUCACGGAUGAACUUAGAGUCUGCGCUGCAAGGCGGACCUUCAUGAUCUGGCGGCCAAACUCAAUAUGGGAUCUGGGUCAGUUGCAGCCGUCGACGGACACCACGCAGGUACUGGUUCUUCUCUCGAAGUUGUCUCAUUCCUGUUCUUGGCGUUGUUUUGCUGUGAUAGGUGUGCUCCUUGUGACCCUUGGGUGUGAUCGGGCUGCCCUCAGUAUCUGUGUUGCUCACAGACACCUGCAAAGUUGCCUGUUGGUUAAGGACAGUGUGGCGGCCCGUGUGUGAUGUUCGAUCCUUACGUUCGACGUCCGGGUCACCAAUGUUGGGAGUUCUAAAUAACGACAACCUGUUCGGUUAGUGGCGAGAGCCCAACUGAUGGUUUAAUGAUUGUGCUCGUGAGAUGGUGCCUCGCACCAGUAGCGAUGUGGAUGACCAGACCAGCGAUGUGGAUGAAGGUGCUGCACUGCUACAACAGCAUUCCCCAAUAUUUUGCAUUUUAAAAUUACCGGUUGUCGUGUAGGCGUGGUUUCAUUGCAUGUUUCCGGUUGUUGCUGCCCUGCUGUGGGGUCAGGGGACAAAACAUCUAGAGAAAUGUCCUCAAGUCGUUGUGUUUUGGGAUCUGGGCUUUCCUGCUGACACUCCUGAAAUGGUAGUAGGAACUGUCGCUGCUCACAGGAAUUGGAAUGCAUUGUUUCGCAGUGGGCUAUAGUCACAAAAGCAAUUUGUCUGUGUUUUCAUGUUUUUCAGCAGCAGAAGAACCUGACAGCAGAAAGCAGCAGGAAUAAGAAAUGACAUACAGACAUAUACUCACUGCUUUCCGCUUUUGUGGCAGCUUACAGUAGGGAUGGUCCUCAUGGUCAAACAGGCAGUGGAACAGCUGGAGAAGGGACGGCGGGCUCUGCUUGCUCAGCACUGGCUUCAAGCAUUUCCUGGAAAACAUGGAGUGAAGGCAGUCAUACAGAGGGGUGGCUGCACAAACUACUAUGUACUUACCAGGGAAACUGUGUCAGCACCACUUUCAUCUCUUUCAUCUGGCUGGCUGGCUGUUACUUGGCUCUAAAAAAGUUCUUCCAUUAUUAUCUCCUUUUGUAUCAUUUUAAAAGUAAUAAAGAAUAACCGGAUACCUCA